CGUCCACCGCAUGGUGGGUUUGGAAAAUAUAUCGGUUUUGGAUGGACUCGCGGCCUAUCAGCUUGUUGGUGAGGUAAUGGCUCACCAAGGCGACGACGGGUAGCCGGCCUGAGAGGGUGACCGGCCACACUGGGACUGAGACACGGCCCAGACUCCUACGGGAGGCAGCAGUGGGGAAUAUUGCACAAUGGGCGAAGCCUGAUGCAGCGACGCCGCGUGAGGGAUGACGGCCUUUCGGGUUGUAAACCUCUUUCAGUAGGGAAGAAGCGAAAGUGACGGUACCUGCAGAAGAAGCACCGGCUAACUACGUGCCAGCAGCCGCGGUAAUACGUAGGGUGCGAGCGUUAUCCGGAAUUAUUGGGCGUAAAGAGCUCGUAGGCGGUUUGUCGCGUCUGUCGUGAAAGUCCGGGGCUUAACCCCGGAUCUGCGGUGGGUACGGGCAGACUAGAGUGCAGUAGGGGAGACUGGAAUUCCUGGUGUAGCGGUGGAAUGCGCAGAUAUCAGGAGGAACACCGAUGGCGAAGGCAGGUCUCUGGGCUGUAACUGACGCUGAGGAGCGAAAGCAUGGGGAGCGAACAGGAUUAGAUACCCUGGUAGUCCAUGCCGUAAACGUUGGGCACUAGGUGUGGGGACCAUUCCACGGUUUCCGCGCCGCAGCUAACGCAUUAAGUGCCCCGCCUGGGGAGUACGGCCGCAAGGCUAAAACUCAAAGGAAUUGACGGGGGCCCGCACAAGCGGCGGAGCAUGCGGAUUAAUUCGAUGCAACGCGAAGAACCUUACCAAGGCUUGACAUGUUCUCGAUCGCCGUAGAGAUACGGUUUCCCCUUUUGGGGCGGGUUCACAGGUGGUGCAUGGUUGUCGUCAGCUCGUGUCGUGAGAUGUUGGGUUAAGUCCCGCAACGAGCGCAACCCUCGUUCCAUGUUGCCAGCACGUCGUGGUGGGGACUCAUGGGAGACUGCCGGGGUCAACUCGGAGGAAGGUGAGGACGACGUCAAAUCAUCAUGCCCCUUAUGUCUUGGGCUUCACGCAUGCUACAAUGGCCGGUACAAUGGGUUGCGAUACUGUGAGGUGGAGCUAAUCCCAAAAAGCCGGUCUCAGUUCGGAUUGGGGUCUGCAACUCGACCCCAUGAAGUCGGAGUCGCUAGUAAUCGCAGAUCAGCAACGCUGCGGUG
rnacentral:rRNA from 2 species